rnacentral:rRNA from 1 species
CGGAACACGUACAGAACCUUCCUUUAAGCGGGGGAUAGCCCAUAGAAAUGUGGAUUAAUACCCCAUAGUAAUAUUGACUGGCAUCAGUUGGUAUUUAAAGAUUUAUCACUUAAAGAUGGCUGUGCGGCUGAUUAGGUAGUUGGUGCGGGUAACGGCCCACCAAGCCAUCGAUCAGUAACUGGUGUGAGAGCACGACCAGUCACACGGGCACUGAGACACGGGCCCG